rnacentral:rRNA from 1 species
GACAGAGGGUGCAAACGUUGUUCGGAAUUACUGGGCGUAAAGCGCGUGUAGGCUGCUUCGAAAGUCGGAUGUGAAAGCCCUGGGCUCAACCUAGGAAGUGCAUUCGAAACUUCGAGCUCGAGUUCUGGAGAGGAAGGCGGAAUUCUCGGUGUAGAGGUGAAAUUCGUAGAUAUCUGGAGGAACACCGGUGGCGAAGGCGGCAUCCUGGACCAACACUGACGCUGAGUGAGCGAAAGCCAGGGGAGCAAACGGG